AUGCAGGAACAUGCAUCAUUGCUGGAAAAGACACCAUGCAGUCCCCUAUCACAACAUACUGCUCGACCACCAACAUGUAACCAAAUAUCACCCUCACCAGCUAAAUCCCUGAAAUCUGGAGAUUUAGAUUUUCAGUCUAGUGGAGAUUCCAUUGACAUCUUAAGCCAAGCUUUAACACAAGACGAAGAAGACAACAUAAUCCACUCCAAGACUAAUUUAUCCACAGAAAACACAAAUUUAUCCCUGGAAGACUCCAUUUGUGAUGAAUCAAUUACAUGCUCAGCUUCUGAGGUCCUGGAAGGCAUCCAACAUACCGAGUGCAUUACUGACCAAACAGUUUCAAUCAAUCAGGCUGUUCCUGUAAGCCAAAAUCCCGACUUGUCUAUUUGCAAAUAUGUUGAAAAAGCAUGGAAGGACUUUGAGAAGGAUGCUAAGCAAAGAAUUAAAAGUUUUGCACUAAGCUCUAAGAUGCACGAGGGCACGAAUAUUAGCGAUGGCAAGCCAAAAGAGAAUGUGAGUUUAAAAACUAAUUCAGAGCCUCAGCUGUGCUCCCAUGGCUUCACAUUUGGGACCAUUGUAGCCCCACUUUAUCAUCAGGUUUUUAAAAACAUGGAAACAGAGAGACAAGACUUCUUUCCAAAACCAUUGGAUAGGUCAUUUAGGGAACUGGAGGAUGAGAGUCAAAGAGCGGUCAAAGCCCAUGAGACCCCAGACAUUUGGCCAGAGUCUUGCAUAUCUACAAAACAGACAGUACAUGAUAUUAGUGUUGGCAUCUGCAAUGAAUCAGCAGAACAGAACCCACAACAUACAGUAAACCCAACCAAAACUCUUUCUGAGCCAAAUCAGUGUAAACAUGUUGAGAAGGCAGAAGCUUCUUACAAUCAAAACUAUUAUACCGGUGGUAUCCGAGAGUACCCAAGAGACAUCAAAUUUACUGAAACAAACCUUCCAAAAGUUACAUCCAGGCAGCCAGAUCCUCCACUUGGAGAAGUUUCAACAGUGUGCACACAAGUUUUCACUGAAUGCUCGUUCCAGGAUGAUUCUUGCCAAAGUCUAUGUUUAUUUCCCUUACAAGGACCAGAACUUUUAGCCACUACAAAUGAAACAAUAGAGUCAGGUAUUGACAGCCUACCUGAACAGAUCCAUCCUUCAUCACCCAUAGAGGUUUUCAAAACUUCAUGUUUGGAUAAUCAGAGGUCCUUUAUAAAAACUGAAAAGUCACAAAACCAGGAAGACCCUACAAAUAUCUACACCAAAGAGGAAAAUAUAUCAGUGCAAACAGAAUAUUCAAUCAGCACCUCUUGCAUUCUUGCCCAAUCUCCAGAUGACCCCACAAGGAUCAGCUUGGGUUCCUCUCAUGAUAAAUUAGAGUCUGACUGCUGUGAGAUGAGAUCGAGCAUUGAAAAACUUUCUCAUUUAGCAAUAGCAACAACUAUGCCAAUAGAACCAUAUACAGAAUUGGAGAACACACAGAUAAAUAUGAGCAAUACUUUGGAGAGCUGCCAAAUGAAUGAAAAGAAGGAACAAAUGCUCAUGGGUUUUUCUACACAGACUUCAGAGAUGGAGAGCUCCAGUAUUAUUAAUUUUGAUGGAGAAUGUAACACAUCAGUGAUUAAAGAGAUAGAAGAAAUUCACAAAAGCCUGGAAGAGCAAGAAAAGGGAAAUGAAAAUCAAAUUAAGCAGAUGGAGAAGCAGAAACAAGACAAAGAGGAGAAAGAACAAGAACCAGAAGAACAAGAAGGUGCAGAAGGAAAACAUGAAGUUAAAGGAGGAAUAAAUGGCAUUGAAGAUGAGUUGAAAUACAUAGACGAUGAAGAGGACCUGGAUGCAAUGGAAACUGAGAGAGAAAAGAAACAACAAGAAGAUGCACAUGAUCUGCUUUCUCAAGAUGCAGAGGAGCAGAAGCAGAUCAUUAGUACCGACACUGUUAAAUCAUUACCACAACAUCAUAUUGACUUAAAUGAAAUAGAAAGUCUAGGUGAGUACUCAGAAAAAGAGGACAUGCACAUCAACCAUGGAUUAGAGAUCUGUGAGGAAACUGCUACAUCUUGGCAAGAAUCAUCUCAAAAGACUGAUAUUGAACUCAGUGGAAGUAUGCAAGCUAUGGAGAAUGAUUGGAACCUCAUUGACUUUAUUGAUAAAGAAGAGAAUGUGUGCUGUGAAAGUGUGAAAAGUGAAUGGGAAACUACUGAUGAUGUAAACAGUAUGCUGGAAAACAUGGAAUGCCUGGCAAAAGACUCAGUGAACAGAGAUCUUGAAAACGUUGAAGACAAUACCUCAACAGAAUCGCAGAUAGAUGAUGAGAUGGAGCUGUACCUGAACAGUCUGAGGAAUUCACAACAGUCAGUAUUCAGAGAAGGCACAAUGAGUGGAAGCUACGGCAAAAGACCCUCCUUGAGCAGAGGAAGGCCAUUAGCUAUGCCUUCAAUCUCUGAGUCUAUGGACGAGGACCAGCCGAGUAGUUCCCUAGAGGAUUUAACAAAUAUUGAGUACAACAUGAAGCUGGAGAGAGCUACACUGCCCCUAGUUGAUGGGAAUGAACGUGUCAUUGGACGUAAUGUCUUGUGGUGGAAAGAGUUUCUGUCCUAUGACAAUAUGUCAAGGAUGACUAGAUACACAUUUUUGUUGAUAGUGUUUUUGGUCAUAGCAUAUUAUUAUGACUUCAUUGCAUGCUUUGCCCUAUAUAUUCUUACAGUGUAUUGGCUGUUUUAUCAAGCGGAGGAAGUGCCACUGAAAAGCUCUCAGAAAGGUGAAAGAGGACUGCAGUAA
ensembl:lncRNA